AUUGAACGCUGGCGGCAGGCCUAACACAUGCAAGUCGAGCGGAUGAAGGGAGCUUGCUCCUGAAUUCAGCGGCGGACGGGUGAGUAAUGCCUAGGAAUCUGCCUGGUAGUGGGGGAUAACGUCCGGAAACGGGCGCUAAUACCGCAUACGUCCUGAGGGAGAAAGUGGGGGAUCUUCGGACCUCACGCUAUCAGAUGAGCCUAGGUCGGAUUAGCUAGUUGGUGGGGUAAAGGCCUACCAAGGCGACGAUCCGUAACUGGUCUGAGAGGAUGAUCAGUCACACUGGAACUGAGACACGGUCCAGACUCCUACGGGAGGCGGCAGUGGGGAAUAUUGGACAAUGGUCGAAAGCCUGAUCCAGCCAUGCCGCGUGUGUGAAGAAGGUCUUCGGAUUGUAAAGCACUUUAAGUUGGGAGGAAGGGCAGUAAGUUAAUACCUUGCUGUUUUGACGUUACCAACAGAAUAAGCACCGGCUAACUUCGUG
rnacentral:rRNA from 1 species